rnacentral:lncRNA from 1 species
AUUAUAAGUUAAACUAAUUUAUUAGGAGUGGAAUAUUUUUGAGUGUAGGGUUAAAUAUAAUAAAAAAUUAUUCUAAUUAUAUAAAUGAAAGCUUUGAAAAUCUCGAGCACUCAUCAAAUCUUUCAAAAAAAAUAUUCACGAGCAGCUCAAAUUCAUCUUAAAAUUUAAAUAAGUUGAAUCAAACUCGAUAAAUAUUAUAAAAC